rnacentral:lncRNA from 1 species
AGAAUGUGUUUAGAAAAUUUAAAACAACACUAAAGAUCAUAGGUUUCAGUAUCGAGAGAAUUUACCGAAAAACUCAAUAUUUUCGUACGGGUUAACCCAUAGAUUUUGAAAAAAAUUCAAAAAUAUGAAAAUAUUUUUUUAAUGCAUACUUUCAUCCUUCUGUAGCAUAUGAUGAAGGUCAAAGAGGUUUGUAACCUUUGUUGUCUCCGUUUCUCUUGAGAAUAGCGAUUUUAUCGUGGUUAGUCCACCAAUUUAGGAAGUAUUAUGAAGUUUUACUAAAUUAAUUGACAAAAAAUUAAAACGAUGCUCAUGAACCAUGAAAGAGAGUUUAAUAUACAUUAAUAAAAAUGAAGAAUGUGUUUAGAAAAUUUAAAACAACACUAAAGAUCAUAGGUUUCAGUAUAUAGAGAAUUUAUCGAAAAACUCAAUAUUUUCGUAGGGGUUAACCCAUAGAUUUUGAGAAAAAUUCAAAAAUAUGAAAAUAUUUUUUUAAUGCAUAUUUUCAUCCUUCUGUAACAUAUGAUGAAGGUCAAAGAGGUUUGUAACUUUUGUUGUCUCCGUUUCUCUUGAGAAUAGCGAUUUUAUCGUGGUUAGUCCACCAAUUUAGGAAGAAUUAUGAAGUUUUACUAAAUUACAUGACAAAAAAUUAAAACGAUGCUCAUGAACCAUGAAAUAGAGUUUAAUAUACAUUAAUAAAAAUGAAGAAUGUGUUUAGAAAAUUUAAAACAACACUAAAGAUCAUAGGUUUCAGUAUAUAGAGAAUUUACCGAAAAACUCAAUAUUUUCGUAGAGACCCAUAGAUUUUGAGAAAAAUUCAAAAAAAAUGAAAAUAUUUUUUAAUGCAUAUUUUCAUCCUUCUGUAACAUAUGAUGAAGGUCAAAGAGGUUUGUAACUUUUAUUGUCUCCGUUUCUCUUGAGAAUACCGAUUUUAUCGUGGUUAGUCCACCAAUUUAGGAAGAAUUAUGAAGUUUUACUAAAUUACAUGACAAAAAAUUAAAACGAUGAUCAUGAACCAUGAAAGAGAGUUUAAUAUACAUUAAUAAAAAU